AGCAGUAUGGUGUACGGCUGCACACCGGGUUCAGUUGAUCUGUUCCCACACUCCUUAACCCGGAGGACCUUGUUCGACUCGAGGUACUGCUC